rnacentral:rRNA from 1 species
UACGAAGGGGGCUAGCGUUGCUCGGAAUCACUGGGCGUAAAGGGUGCGUAGGCGGGUCUUUUAAGUCAGGGGUGAAAUCCUGGAGCUCAACUCCAGAACUGCCUUUGAUACUGAGGAUCUUGAGUUCGGGAGAGGUGAGUGGAACUGCGAGUGUAGAGGUGAAAUUCGUAGAUAUUCGCAAGAACACCAGUGGCGAAGGCGGCUCACUGGCCCGAUACUGACGCUGAGGCGCGAAAAGCGUGGGGAGCAAACGGG